CAGGAUGGGACCAAGAAACCGCGCGACAUUUUCGGGCGACGAAAAGCGGAAUCGCAGGAGCAGGAGGCCAGCUUGAAAUGCCCUGGAAGCAAAAUCGAUAUUUAAUUUUAACGAAGCCGAGGCCGCACAAAAGAAUAUUCUCUCUCGGUUCCCCGUAACGAGAGCUCGAGAGUCGACUCGUCCUCUUUCACCUUCCGUUUUCCCUCCCCUUUUCCUCCUCCCCCCUCCUCUCCUUCUCCCUUACCGAUCUGCUUUUCGUCUUUGUGUCUGGUGUCUGCGUCGCGAAGCCUCCACUGCUUCUCGAGCGAAAGUA